UACGUAGGGAGCAAGCGUUGUCCGGAAUCAUUGGGCGUAAAGCGUGCGUAGGCGGUUUGUUAAGUCCGCUGUGAAAGCCCUGGGCUCAACCUGGGAAUUGCAGUGGAUACUGGCAGCUAGAGUGCGGUAGAGGAUGGUGGAAUUCCCGGUGUAGCGGUGAAAUGCGUAGAGAUCGGGAGGAACACCCGUGGCGAAGGCGGCCAUCUGGACCAGCACUGACGCUGAGGCACGGAAAGCGUGG
rnacentral:rRNA from 1 species